CUAAAGCCAGGAAUCACUAUUUCUUUUAGCAGUGGUUUAAACAGCAAGUGAAUCUCGUCGUCUUUGCGGGGCUGUGGCCAUGCCCCUCAAAGUGAAUUUAGAGGCUCUACAGCC